GUGGGGAAUAUUGCACAAUGGGGGAAACCCUGAUGCAGCGACGCCGCGUGAGCGAGGAAGUAUUUCGGUAUGUAAAGCUCUAUCAGCAGGGAAGAAGAAAGUGACGGUACCUGACUAAGAAGCCCCGGCUAACUACGUGCCAGCAGCCGCGGUAAUACGUAGGGGGCAAGCGUUAUCCGGAUUUACUGGGUGUAAAGGGAGCGCAGGCGGCCGUACAAGUCUGAUGUGAAAACCCGGGGCUCAACCGCGGGAGUGCAUUGGAAACUGUAAGGCUGGAGUGUCGGAGAGGCAAGCGGAAUUCCUAGUGUAGCGGUGAAAUGCGUAGAUAUUAGGAGGAACACCAGUGGCGAAGGCGGCUUGCUGGACGAUGACUGACGCUGAGGCUCGAAAGCGUGGGGAGCAAACAGGA
rnacentral:rRNA from 1 species